rnacentral:rRNA from 1 species
AGGAAAAGAAACCAACAGGGAUUGCCUUAGUAACGGCGAGUGAAGCGGCAAAAGCUCAAAUUUGAAAUCUGGCCUUUGGUCCGAAUUGUAAUUUGAAGAUGGUAAUUUUGAAAGUGAUGGUUGAAUAAGUCUGUUGGAACACAGCGCCUUGGAGGGUGAGAGCCCCGUAUUUUAACCAACAUAAUCUUGUAAAUUACCUUCGAAGAGUCGAGUUGUUUGGGAAUGCAGCUCUAAUUGGGUGGUAAAUUCCAUCUAAAGCUAAAUAUUGACGAGAGACCGAUAGCGAACAAGUACAGUGAUGGAAAGAUGAAAAGAACUUUGAAAAGAGAGUGAAAAAGUACGUGAAAUUGUUGAAAGGGAAGGGUUUUAGAGGAGACUUGGGUUUAACAUUCAAUUAGGUCUUGGCCUAAUGUAUUUUGUUAUUUCUGGGCCAGUAUGGGUUUGAAUAGUGAGAUAAAAGUUUAGUAAUGUGGCUACAUUUUGUAGUGUUAUAGACUAUUCUAAUAUCACUCAAUCAGACCAAGGAAUGCGAUUCUAGGAUACUGGCGUAAUCCUCUUAAACCACCC